AAACAUCUAAGUACCCGGAGGAAAGGACAUCAAUAUGAGACUCCGUUAGUAGUGGCGAGCGAACGCGGAUCAGGCCAGUGAUUGUGUUGAUAUAACUGGAACGCUUUGGGAAAAGCGGCCGUAGAGGGUGAAAGCCCCGUACAGGUAAAACAGACACAGUCCUAGAGUAGGGCGGGGCACGUGAAACCCUGCUUGAACGUGGGAGGACCACCUUCCAAGCCUAAGUACUCCUUGUCGACCGAUAGCGUACAAGUACCGUGAGGGAAAGGUGAAAAGAACCCUGAACAAGGG
rnacentral:rRNA from 1 species